rnacentral:rRNA from 1 species
AUGCGCUUCGAAAGGAGUCUGAGAAGGCUUGAAAGGCAGAGGGUUAUGCCAACAAUAUCUUCUCAUGGGGUGUUGGCAUGUAUGAGCACUGCAAUGGGAUACAAAAGUUUCUUCAGGAUUUUGCAACUAACCAAGGAGUACCUCUUGGUGAAAUACCACCGCCGCCAGUUCCACCUCCUGCUCGUUCACGGUCUCCUCCUGGAUCCCCAUGACAAUCUGCUAUCCAAAAUUCUAGAAAAUAGCGAAGAACUGCCCCCUUUGUGUGCUCAUCAACAAGCAAAUCCUAGCUCUGAUCAUGAACAUGUUGGAUCAAAUGAUCGUGCUGCAGCAGGCGAUGAAGGGAUGUUUGGGGGAUUUUUCAGCGAGUGUGGAACUGGUGCACUAAGCUUAUCACUACUGGGCACCCAACGAGUCCAUUGA